AGAGUUUGAUCCUGGCUCAGAACGAACGCUGGCGGCAUGCCUAACACAUGCAAGUCGAACGAGAUCGUCGGAUCUAGUGGCGCACGGGUGCGUAACGCGUGGGAAUCUGCCCUUGGGUUCGGAAUAACUUCUGGAAACGGAAGCUAAUACCGGAUGAUGACGUAAGUCCAAAGAUUUAUCGCCCAAGGAUGAGCCCGCGUAGGAUUAGCUAGUUGGUGAGGUAAAGGCUCACCAAGGCGACGAUCCUUAGCUGGUCUGAGAGGAUGAUCAGCCACACUGGGACUGAGACACGGCCCAGACUCCUACGGGAGGCAGCAGUGGGGAAUAUUGGACAAUGGGCGAAAGCCUGAUCCAGCAAUGCCGCGUGAGUGAUGAAGGCCUUAGGGUUGUAAAGCUCUUUUACCCGAGAUGAUAAUGACAGUAUCGGGAGAAUAAGCUCCGGCUAACUCCGUGCCAGCAGCCGCGGUAAUACGGAGGGAGCUAGCGUUGUUCGGAAUUACUGGGCGUAAAGCGCACGUAGGCGGCCAUUCAAGUCAGAGGUGAAAGCCCAGGGCUCAACCCUGGAAUUGCCUUUGAAACUAGAUGGCUUGAAUCCAGGAGAGGUGAGUGGAAUUCCGAGUGUAGAGGUGAAAUUCGUAGAUAUUCGGAAGAACACCAGUGGCGAAGGCGGCUCACUGGACUGGUAUUGACGCUGAGGUGCGAAAGCGUGGGGAGCAAACCAGGAUUAGAUACCCUGGUAGUCC
rnacentral:rRNA from 1 species